rnacentral:rRNA from 1 species
UGGGGAAUUUUGGGCAAUGGGCGAAAGCCUGACCCAGCAACGCCGCGUGCAGGAUGAAGGCCCUCGGGUCGUAAACUGCUGUCGGGAGGGAAGAAAAGCCGCGGUGAGAACAUUGCCGCAGCCUGACGGUACCUCCAAAGGAAGCGCCGGCUAACUCCGUGCCAGCAGCCGCGGUAAUACGGAGGGCGCAAGCGUUGUUCGGAAUUACUGGGCGUAAAGCGCGUGUAGGCGGUCUGGUAAGUCGGAUGUGAAAUCCCCGGGCUCAACCCGGGAACUGCAUCCGAAACUGCUGGGCUAGAGUCCCGGAGAGGAAGGCAGAAUUCCCAAUGUAGGGGUGAAAUCCGUAGAUAUUGGGAGGAAUACCAGUGGCGAAGGCGGCCUUCUGGACGGUGACGUGACGCUGAGACGCGAAAGCGUGGGGAGCAAACAGGAUUAGAUACCCUGGUAGUCCACGCCGUAAACGGUGCGCACUAGGUGUCGGGGGUAUUCGACCCUCCGGUGCCGCAGCUAACGUCUUAAGUG